CCUGUGUCCAUGGCUGCAGGUUGUUGUGCUGGCGAGCAAUUGGGCUGUUGUUGAUAUGCUAAUGAGGCGAUUAGACUGUGGGUAAAGAGCUGGAAAAGGGAAAAGUUUCCACCAUUAGAGGGAGAUCUCCGAGCGCGGACGGGAGCGCUGCCGAGCCUCCGCCAGCCGCGCUCCCCACGCCGCCCGGCACCGCCACCGUAGGGAGAGGCAAGGCAGGGAGAACCAAAUCCUCUCUCUCUCUCGCCAAUCCAUGAAAAUGCUUUGGAAACUGACGGAUAAUAUCAAGUAUGAGGAAUGUGAGGAAAACUUCUGCUCCGUCGUCAGGCUUCCUUGCGGUCCUGCAGCCGGAGAGGGGCUGGGGUCCAUCCCCAGGAACUUCGGGGCUUGUGGAAACACGGCUUUGUCGGAAGUGUAUGAGGAAAGGCAAACGGGAUCCAGAAGCAGCCUGGUCUAUAGGUAGAUCCUCCGUAGAUAAGGCUCUUGUAGGAUGCUACACUCAUCCAUAUGGAUGGAUGGAUGGAUAGGCGGCUGGCUGAAUGAAUGGACAGAUGAAUGAAUGAAUGAGAGGGCCAAGAGACAAAGGGAAGAGAAUUAUUCUUGCACUCUAGGUACCCGAGGCAUCCAAAUAAAUCGGCUCAGGACCGGCGCUUAAAUUCAGCUUUUUCGAUAUGUCUGCGGGUUCAUUUUCCCGAGCUGCACAAAUUUACAGGGGUCAGCUGCCUAACUGAAAUCACGGGUUUUGGAGCAGUGUUCCCCCAGCCUCCUAAUUUUCAGGGCCGCAUUCCCACGGGUUUGAGACAUAGUAAUUUAACCGCUUGGGGAAAAAAAAAAAAAAUCCACCUCAUUCGAUUUUGGAGCCGUUCAGCACAGAUUGUGUGCGCGCAUCUCUCUCUGUGUCUGUAUGUGCAUCCAUAAUUUUAGAAAGAGGCGAUUGUCUUUUAAUCUGACAAAAAGGAGAAAAAGAGGAAAAAGAAGAGCGAUGCCCAGGACCCAUGCCUAGUCUCAAACCAACGAAUACUAUUGUCACCCGUUUCGUAAAAGUUGCCUGUGCAGUGCGUUCAAACCGCGCAAUAAAAGACUCUACUUUGCAA